AAUCUCUAAUUUCUUAAUUGUUUAAGUAUUUGAGACAUACGAGAUACUGAAUAGUUCGCCAUAUUUUGUCACAAACUGGUUUAUGAUAUUACGAUAAAAUAAUUUUUGUGAUUGGCCUCUCACAUACGUAUACCUCAUUAAAACUCUCCUCAAUUUCAGCCAACACUAACACUAAUAGUGCCAAUAAUGCCUAACUCCAAUAUCUCUGUAAUUAUAAUUACGUCGAAAGUUUGGUUUGUUGGUCAAACAAGAAUCUUUUAAAUCAAAUUUAAAAUACGGUAAAUAAUAUUCCUAUGUUUUUAUCCUAUCUCUCUUUACCUAACUCUAAGAUCUUUCAAUAAUGAUGCGCUGAUUAUUAUUCGAAUAACGUGUACGUCAUGGUAUAUUCACGAACCAUUGAAUGGUCGAACAUAUCAUAGAAAUCGUAGGAAUAUACGGUAAAUCAUAAGAUAAUCGAUAACACGUCUAAUAAUUAAACGAUGAAAACGUAUUUCUCGGUUUUAGUCGAGUGUACGAAUGAUUCACAUUGUUCGUUCCGUAGGUGCACAUGUUGUUCGUCGUUAUCUGUGAUUGCGCCGUAUGCAUUCUUAGAAUAUUAACAACGUCACAAUAUUAAAUUAUUAAAUAGCAUUUCAGCACUUCUAAUAGUAUAUCGUGCAUCGCGAUUAUUCAAGUCUAAUAGAAGGUUCUAAAGUCGUUUAAACCAAUAUACGACUAAUGUGAACUAAAACGUAUCGACAAUUUUAUGUUUGAAGUGCAUUUUUAAUUUAAAAUACACGUAUUUUUUUCAUGGAAUUCCCUGGAAAUUGACGCUUUACAAUAGAGUCGUAUAGUUAACAAGAAAAACAAUCAACAACAAGCUGUACAUUGUAACAAUAUCUAUUUUAAAUCGCUUAUUAAAUAUUGAUAAAUUUUACCUUUGGCAUUUUCAUAUUGCAACAUCAUUACCGUCAGCACUAAAGUAACUAAUUUUAACGUGAUUGUUCGUCGAUAUGGUAACUGCACUCACAGAAACCAAACUCUUACUGAAGAUUUUUGCUUGUCUGUACUUAUGCAGUUUUGAACUACUUUAAGCUGAAUAACGUAAAAUCAUUAACCAUCUGAGCCAACGAGGAUUUCCAGCAGAUCUUAUCGACAACACAGUAGGCCAUUUUCCAGCAGUAAAUUAUAUUAACUUAAGCCACCGUGGCGUCGUGAAAGUUUUCAGAUAGUAUAACGAUAAGCCUCGACGGAAAGAAUGCGGUCCCAUUUUCCGCUUUUAUCUUGCUUCAUCCAAUUAACAUAUUUAUAAAGACUAUAUGUAUUUCAAAAUACGGUAGAGUAUGAUACAACGAACGAUUCAGCGAAUAUCCUUACGAAUAAAAUCAGAAUGAUACAAUAGGCAAAGAUGUUACAGCGAACAGUAAAAUCACGAGUCAAGCAUAGCGAAAAAAUUAAUUAAUUCAGGCAAGAAUGCAACGUAUAAAAACAAAACAAAGUAUUUUAUAUGCCUCAUUUUUCACUCAAGUUUUCGUGCUUAAAUCAAGUUUCAUGCUUACUUCAGUCCUUGGAACAAAUUAUCCAAUUAUCACCAAAUGCAUUUAGCUACAUAUUUCGAUACGUUAGAGAGAACUAAUGCUAAUAAUCAAUAUGGAUCUAAAACGAAUAUAUCACUUAAUCUAAUCUGGAGUCCCUAUUGUAAUUAAAAAUUAUAAGCAUAUUUAUGAUACUGUUGAACUGUGUAACGUCGUGGUCGCCGUGGUGCAAAAUGCAAAAAAUUAUACCUUACAAGAUCUAAAAUUAAAAAGUCAAUUAUACAUUACGAAGGAGAUAUAUUUUACCGAACAUUUUAAAUCUCUUUUAUUAUAAAAAAGGAAUUGAAAAUAAGAAUAAGUAUAUAAUAUUUGUGCACAUUCUGGUAUAAAACAUCACAGCUUGGAUUCAUAGAUGUACUUAGAUAUCAAUGACUAAAAUAAUAUUUGUAUGGGUCAUGGUCAUGGGCAUUGCCAAUUCGAUGUGAAAGUAAUAUUUCGCUAGGAAGAAGUUCCAUCUUAAACGGAGAGUCUGCAAACGCAAAUAAAACAUACUAAAUGUGUCAACAGCGAUACAACGAAAAUUCCCAAUGACUUUUAGCGAUUUUAUAAAGAUCAUAAAAUUACGGAGUAUUUGAGAUUGUAACAGUGGAACGAUACGAAUGAUCAGAUUCAAGGCGAUACAUUCAAUCAGAGACAAAAGAACCACCGCGAAUGCGUUAUCGGUCGCAACGGAUCGUAAUCAUUGUUGUAUAAGCGGCGUGAAACAAUAAGCAAAUACACGGACGUUACGCGUGAUUCAUCAAGCAGGGACCAGAAGCAGGUUAUACGUGUCUCGACUGUCUUGACAUUGAACUCCAGAGGCAGAUGAGUACCUUGCCGUCGAGCACAAUAGACGCCUCUGUAAAAGGGAACGAGCCUGCUGUCCAAAGCGCCUCUAGAUUAAUGCGCAGAAGGUAAUCAACUUUCGCGAUUGGGUAUUCCCCGGCGGCGUCACUCUGUACUAUCGUACAGAGCCAAGAAAUUUAUCUAGCAAUAAAAUGUUAAAGAAUUUACGUAAACAGCCUAUAUCCCAUUUGAUAUCACUGUGUAAUAAACAAUGUGAAUUUUAUGGAAAAUUUAAUAAAUGUAAGUCUAAUGAAUGUGAAACGCUCAAUUACAUAGAUGGCGAUACCUCGUACAUACGUAAAUUCUGUCUAGGACAUAACCUUGUGUAGCAUUCGAAUGUAAUUGGAAUAUUUGAUAUGUAGAUCCAUUAGCAUAGUCCUACAUUAAUCUUAUUUUGAAUGAUACAUCUUAUACAUAUAUACGUACAAGUUUUUAAAUAAAUAUAAGGAAGAUAUUACUUAUUUCUUAUUAAAGAAUUAAAUAUGUAUAAGUAAUCAAUGAAUAAAACGUAAUUAUACAGCUA